rnacentral:rRNA from 2 species
CGGACGGGUGAGUAACACGUAGGUAACCUGCCCAGAAGCGGGGGACAACAUUUGGAAACAGAUGCUAAUACCGCAUAACAACGUUGUUCGCAUGAACAACGCUUAAAAGAUGGCUUCUCGCUAUCACUUCUGGAUGGACCUGCGGUGCAUUAGCUUGUUGGUGGGGUAACGGCCUACCAAGGCGAUGAUGCAUAGCCGAGUUGAGAGACUGAUCGGCCACAAUGGGACUGAGACACGGCCCAUACUCCUACGGGAGGCAGCAGUAGGGAAUCUUCCACAAUGGGCGCAAGCCUGAUGGAGCAACACCGCGUGAGUGAAGAAGGGUUUCGGCUCGUAAAGCUCUGUUGUUAAAGAAGAACACGUAUGAGAGUAACUGUUCAUACGUUGACGGUAUUUAACCAGAAAGUCACGGCUAACUACGUGCCAGCAGCCGCGGUAAUACGUAGGUGGCAAGCGUUAUCCGGAUUUAUUGGGCGUAAAGAGAGUGCAGGCGGUUUUCUAAGUCUGAUGUGAAAGCCUUCGGCUUAACCGGAGAAGUGCAUCGGAAACUGGAUAACUUGAGUGCAGAAGAGGGUAGUGGAACUCCAUGUGUAGCGGUGGAAUGCGUAGAUAUAUGGAAGAACACCAGUGGCGAAGGCGGCUACCUGGUCUGCAACUGACGCUGAGACUCGAAAGCAUGGGUAGCGAACAGGAUUAGAUACCCUGGUAGUCCAUGCCGUAAACGAUGAGUGCUAGGUGUUGGAGGGUUUCCGCCCUUCAGUGCCGGAGCUAACGCAUUAAGCACUCCGCCUGGGGAGUACGACCGCAAGGUUGAAACUCAAAGGAAUUGACGGGGGCCCGCACAAGCGGUGGAGCAUGUGGUUUAAUUCGAAGCUACGCGAAGAACCUUACCAGGUCUUGACAUCUUGCGCCAACCCUAGAGAUAGGGCGUUUCCUUCGGGAACGCAAUGACAGGUGGUGCAUGGUCGUCGUCAGCUCGUGUCGUGAGAUGUUGGGUUAAGUCCCGCAACGAGCGCAACCCUUGUUACUAGUUGCCAGCAUUAAGUUGGGCACUCUAGUGAGACUGCCGGUGACAAACCGGAGGAAGGUGGGGACGACGUCAGAUCAUCAUGCCCCUUAUGACCUGGGCUACACACGUGCUACAAUGGACGGUACAACGAGUCGCGAACUCGCGAGGGCAAGCAAAUCUCUUAAAACCGUUCUCAGUUCGGACUGCAGGCUGCAACUCGCCUGCACGAAGUCGGAAUCGCUAGUAAUCGCGGAUCAGCAUGCCGCGGUGAAUACGUUCCCGGGCCUUGUA